GGGGAACAUUUUUCCCACCUGGUAGACAGAAACACAUCCGCUGAACUUCACUUCUCAGGGUACUUCCAGGAGAUAAACAACAUGACUACAUACUUACUUUACAAGACAAAGAAGAAACAAUCACUUUUUGUACUGACUACAGGCUGCAGUACCACAGCUUAGAUAAUACAGGCCAAAUACAGGGUAAUUCAUUUACUUGUGAAAAGACAGCUGAUUUGGAGUUUGAGCUCAUGUGUGAGGUCUCUUUGGAUCAACCAUCAAACCAUCAGACUGUGGUAUAGAAGGCUACUACAGCAACUCUCGAUCAUGGGUGAGUAAACAUCAAUAUCCUGUGAGAUUACAUUGCUGCAAGUUGAUAAAAAUAUUUAUCAUAUGGUGUUUUCUGCUUGAUUUCAUAAUUAGGAACUGUCCCAGUUCAGUGUGUGUGUGGAAUAUUUGUAUUAUUCGGUGGAUUUCUGAUAUCAUUCACGCCAUCCUGCGAUGGAGGGAACAUUUUGGUGUUCCCUGUGGAUGGGAGUCAUUGGAUCAAUAUGAAGAUCCUGUUGGAGGAGCUCCAUGCCAGGGGACACAACCUGACCGUGAUGAGAGCCUCCACCAGCUGGUACAUUGAUGAAAAGUCUCCACUCUAUACAUCCAUUAACUUCCAUGUGGAUGUGGGUGUGGAGGACUUUUUUGAUGUGUACCUGAAGGAAAAUAUCAGGGUAAGUCAAUUUGAAUACUUUGCACUUAUUUACCAACUAAACCUGAUUUUACACCACUAUUCUAACUUUUAAUUCCAGGUACAGAGAGAGGGCGCUUCAUCACUCAGUGUCUUUCUACUCAUCAAGGAUUUUCUCUCAAGGAUUUCAACACUUAAUGCAUUGUGGGCUGAUGCUGUUGCUCGAAUCUUUGAUGAUGAGAAGAUGGUCAAAAAAUUACUGGAUGCCAAAUAUGAUCUAGUUCUCACGGACCCAGCCAGUGCAUCAGGAGUUGUGCUGGCUAAGUAUCUCAAGCUGCCCAUGGUGCUAAAUGUUCGCUGGAUCCCUGCAGGUGAAGGUCACAAUGUGAUCGCCCCGACACCUCUCUCUUAUAUCCCGUCAACGGGAUCAGGCCUCACUGACAAAAUGGACUUCAUCCAGAGGAUUAAAAACCUUUUCUUCCACAGUGUUGUUGAGUACCAGAUGAGACUUGUGGCAGGGCCAACAUAUAAUGACCUUUGUGGCAGAUACAUUGAAGAUGGAUGCAGCUUGAUGUCACUUCUUCAGGAAGCAGACAUUUGGCUGUACAGAUCAGAUUUUGUAUUUGACUUUCCACGACCAACAAUGCCAAAUGUGGUCUACAUAGGAGGCUUCCAGUGCAAACCAGCACAGCCUCUGCCAGCAGACCUGGAGAAGUUUGUUCAAAGUGCUGGAGAGCACGGAGUGAUCAUCAUGACUCUAGGAACUUUGGUUAAUGCUCUCCCCGAAGACCUUGCAGAAGAAUUUGCCAGUGUGUUUGCCAAGAUGCCUCAGAAGGUAAGACGUGAUUAGUGAUUCAUUACAAAGACAGAAGAUGAAUAAAAAGAUUUAAAUGCUGGGUCAAUGAUAAUGUGACAAUUUACCUAUUCCUCAAAAUGUCCAACUCCAAGCAAUGUUAACUCCGAAUACAAGACGGAAUAUAAUGAAAGAUCAGAAACUAAAGAAAUGGUUUUACAUAACCUCAAUACGACCACAUGAGUUUUAGACACACGCUGAUCAAGUUGACCAAGAAAAACACCCUUGAUGGCACAUCAUUUGGUUGCAGUGUGCAGGGGUCAUGUGGGUUGAUCACGGUUUGUAAAGCUGCUUUUGCCAAGUUAGAUAAAUUUCUGGCAUGAACUCAAAUGACUUACAUAACUCACAUGAGCAAAUUCCUGAAUCCGGGAUGAUUGCGUCUGUGCAAACUGGCGUGUUAACAUGACUGUAAGUCAUGAAAAGCAUGUUUGAGGUUCAUCAAUGGUGUUCAUGCUCAAUUGUUGAAAAUGGGUUUUACAGUUGUAUGUCAGACACGCUAAUUCUUUCUUUUAUUGAAUAACCUGCAGUAAGACUGUCAGUUCAUAAUGUUUCAUUCCAUUUUUUUGGUUAGGUGAUAUGGAGGCACAAAGGGAAGCGACCCUCUUCUUUGGGCAACAACACCCUGAUAGUGGAUUGGAUGCCACAGAAGGACCUCCUUGGCCACCCACAGACCAAAGUCUUUGUAGCACACGGAGGCACCAAUGGAGUCCAGGAGGCCAUUUACCACGGCGUCCCUGUACUUGGCAUACCGCUGUUCUUUGACCAGUUUGACAACCUGUUGCGCCUGAAGGACAGAGGAGCAGCAAAGAUCCUGGAGUUGGCUGAUGCCAACAGCCGCAGUUUUGAGCAAGCCCUCAAUGAAGUGCUUCAUCAAGACAGCUACAGACAGAACAUUCAGAGGUUGUCACGUUUGCACCGAGAUCAGCCGAUGGCACCCAUGGACAAGGCCGUAUUCUGGGUAGAAUACGUGAUACGCCAUAAAGGGGCUCCACAUCUUCGUACAGAGGCCUAUAAGAUGCCCUGGUAUUCCUACUACUUAUUAGAUGUACUGCUUUUCAUGAUGACUGUGGUGACUGUGCUGCUGUACUCUAUGUUUGCACUUUUUAGGUUCCUGUGCUGCAGACAAAGAAGAAAGACUAAAUCCAAGUUACACUGAUUGGGGGUAAAUGAAUCAAGAAAUAUGCAACACUAGCCAUAUGUUUAUAUUUUUUCUGUCCUAUUAAAAUCAUUCCAAUUAGAGAUUAGAGCUACACUUUUUAUGACUCCUCUUCCGCUUGUACCCUCAAUUUGCUGCAGACCUUUCCUUCCCUCUCACUCUCAUGUGUCUGUGUCUUUGGAUGUCUGUAUUUUAUUUAUUUUUACCUUUGCUGGUCUAAAAUGGACCUACACCAUUUAUGCAAAUGGUACUUGUGUUCCUGCCGUUCUCCCACAUUAAAUUUCCACCCUUCACAGUGAACUGGACGCAACUGAUUUUCUGCACAAAGCAUGCUUUGAUACUAAGUAACACCAACCAUGCCGGCAAAACCAACAACUUUUCUUCCCCAUUACUACAUAAUCCUCCUUUUGACGAGGUACGGAGGUAAUCAGGUAAAUCAUUGAGCUUAUAUAGAAGGGGUGUGCAGAAAGAUCUUGACAUAUGUUUUGUAGACCAGACAAGCACACUAAGACAUUUUUUCUUUGACCUAAACUUGAAUGAUAUGAUCAGAUCGAGCAUUUUCAUGGACAUUAAUCCAACCACAACAAUAGCAUGCAGCAUCCUUCUGGCUUGCAGUGACAUAUCUUUUCUAACGAACAGUUUGGCUCAGUCCUUUUCAACUGGGUUGUUCACUUCAGACUGACCAAGCAUUUUUUCUAAUUUUAAAUGUACAUGUAACAAGUUCUCUGAUGUGUUAUAUUUGAUCAGAAACUGGUUUCCUAAGCUAUUUCAUUUAUAGUAUUUCUACUUUAUUGAUUAGUCAAAUAUAUGGAGCCAGCUCAGGCUCAAAAGUAUUGAAAAAGUAGUGUAAGUGAAAAAAUAAAAAGUGAAGUGAAAAAAUAAGAUUUGAACCUGAAAAAAAUAAAAUGGUACCUGAAAUUCUUGAAUUUCGAAAUUGAACUUUGAAAAAUCCCAGAAUGCAUGAAAAAAAUCUGUUCAAAUGUAACUUUGAUUCUGUUUUUUAAUACUUUUGAAUAAAUUACUUAUUUCUAUUUUUCACUUCAA
rnacentral:lncRNA from 1 species